rnacentral:lncRNA from 1 species
ACCGAAAAUCGACGAUUUUCCAGGUUAGGAAAUCACGAUAUGAACAUGGCUUGCACAAAUUCUGAUGGUUAUAUUCGAGAAACUACUGAUUGUUUUUGAUGUAUUGCGUUUGGACCGAAAAUCGACGAUUUUCAAGAAAUCACUGUAUAAACAUAGCUAGCACAAAUUCUGAUGGUUGAAUUUGAAGAAUUAUAGAUAACUUUGAAGUUAUUGCGAUUGACCGAAAAUCGACGAUAUUCCGAAAAUCACUGUAUAAACAUGGCUUGCACUAAUUCUCAUGGUAAUAUUCGAGAAAUUACUGUUUACCUUGGAUUUAUUGUGUUUGGACGGAAAAUCGACGAUUUUCC